GAAGAAUGGAGAAAAUUAAAUCACAAAGAAUAUCACCAAAACUCCCAACAUACAAUAAACAUAAAGUAAAAUAAAAACCACCCAAAAAGAUGAAAAUGAAAAAAAAAAAAAAAAACUCUCUCUUCUACUUGGAGAACACAUCUUGAAAGCACGAGCGGAGCUAGAAAGCGACUUGCAGGUUCCGCUAUGAUGGCGGCCAUUUCCUCCUCCUUUCUCCACUACCCACAAUGUAAUUUGGUUGGUUUGGGUUCUUUCACAUAUCUGACAAGGGAUUACGUGCUUAAUUUUUUGGAGAGCGAUGGCUUAAUUUAAUUUUUCGACAUGGGGCUUCUUGAUUCCCUGGAAAAAGAUAUCUUGCUUAAUUUUUCAUCGAGGGGUUGAUUGCUUAAUUUUUGACAAAGGGCUGCCUAUCCGAAAAGGAGUUGCUUGCUUAAUUUUCCGACAGGAUUGCUUGCUCAAUUUUCUUGCAAGAAACUGUUGCUUGCUUAAUUUUUCAGCAAGAGGUUGCUUGCUAAAUUGUCUGGAAAGAGGCUGCUAAAUUACCCAGGGAAGGGGUGCUUGCUUAAUUAUCGGACAAGGGGCUGCUUAAUUAUCCGGUAGGAGAAGGAAAAAUGGGGAGAGAAUUACGUGUCCCUCGUCAACAAGGUGAAAAUUCUGAAACCAACCAACUCGGUUACUAGGAUUUCUUUUAUUAUUAUUGUUUUAUGUAUUAGCUUAGCAUCUAGCGUAGUUUUUUAUGUUGCAUGUUUUGAAAUUUGAUGACUUUUGUAAUGUUUAUAUUUAA